rnacentral:rRNA from 1 species
GACGAACGCUGGCGGCGUGCUUAACACAUGCAAGUCGAGCGGUAAGGCCCUUUCGGGGGUACACGAGCGGCGAACGGGUGAGUAACACGUGGGUGACCUGCCCUCAGCUCUGGGAUAAGCCUGGGAAACCGGGUCUAAUACCGGAUAUGACUCCAUGACGCAUGUUGUGGGGUGGAAAGCCUUGUGCGGCUGAGGAUGGGCCCGCGGCCUAUCAGCUUGUUGGUGGGGUGAUGGCCUACCAAGGCGACGACGGGUAGCCGGCCUGAGAGGGCGACCGGCCACACUGGGACUGAGACACGGCCCAGACUCCUACGGGAGGCAGCAGUGGGGAAUAUUGCGCAAUGGGCGUAAGCCUGACGCAGCGACGCCGCGUGGGGAUGAAGGCCU